rnacentral:misc_RNA from 1 species
AACCUAGCACACCUGCGGUGUGUACCUGCGGAGGGAUCAUUAUCGAGUUACCACUCUAUAACCCUUUGUGAACAUACCUACAUGUUGCUUCGGCGGUCGGCCCCCCGGGCCCCCGGCCCCGCUCACGCGGGGCGUCCGCCGGAGGAUAACCAAACUCUGAUUUAACGACGUUUCUUCUGAGUGGCACAAGCAAAUAAUCAAAACUUUUAGCAACGGAUCU